UCCGGUGAUUGGGGCUCUGUGCUUUCACUGCACAGAGCCUGGGGUCGGUCUCUGGUUUGGGAACUAAAAUCCUGCUAGCUGCAUGGCACAACCCGCCCCUACAUUGAUUUAAAACAAAACAGAACCCUGAAUGCAUUAGCAGUCACUCCCCAUUCCUCUCCUUCCCCACCCCCAACCACUGGCAAUCAUUAGUCUGCUUUCUGACUCUACAGAUUUGCCUGUUUUGGACAUUUCAUAUAAGCAGAGUCCUAUAAUAUGUGGUCCUUUGUAUCUAGCUUCUUUCACUGAGCACCGUGUUUUCAAGGUUCAUCCACCUCAUUCCUUUUUUAUGGGUGAAUAAUAUUCCACUGUCUGAAUGGAUCAGCAUCGGUUUAUCCAUCUGUCCAUCAGAGGACAUUCAGGUUGUUUCCACUUUUCGUGAAUAAUGCUGCUAGGAACAUGCAUGUACACAUUUUUGUAAAGAUGAGGUUUUUCCAGUCUAAGUGUUUUUUUGACAAACACCUCAUUUAAUCCUCAAAGCAGCCCUGUUUCAGUGCUGACACGAUCCCCCUCCGGCAGGUGAGGAAGCUGAGGCUCAGAGAGGUGAGCCAAGGUCACGUCACGGCUGGAAGCCAUGGAGCCAGGACCCUCCUGCCUCCUGGUCAACAGACCCCGGUGUUUCUGCCUGUAUUUAGCAGAGCUUUGCCCACUGUUACUGCACAGUAGAUGUUGCUGACUCUUCAAACAAGGACCAUGCACACCUGAAGUCCCAGAAGUCCUCUGUGAUCUGUCAAGCUUCUGCAUUACUGGCAUCACAGCCUGCCGCUGUGGUCACUGCACCAGACAGACGUUAACCCCCAGUGUGCUGGUGGGAGCAGUGCGGCUGCACGUGGGCGCGUGGUCCGGAGAGGCCGAGGGAGGAGACCGCCACCGGGAAACCUUCCUUCACUCCAGCCAGCUUCCCCUCCAGGGAGCUUGCUCGCCCUCUUUCUCCCUGUCCGCCCAGACUUGAAGCCAAAGCCCUCCCUGACCCUUUGAGUUGCUCCUUCCCUUGGCUGUCUGGCCCUGACUCUCAUCCACAGCACGUGGGUUCUUUAUCACCGUGAACCUGGCCUUGUUUCAGCAGAUGGGGUUCUCGCCCUACACAUCCUUCAGCUGCCCUCUUGCACCUGGCCUUACCUGGGCAGGGCUGGACCCCUGGGACCAGGUGAGUGAGUUCUCAGCCUGAUGGCUAUUCUGGGGAUGAUCACAGCCAGGUGGCUGAG
rnacentral:lncRNA from 1 species